AAUCGCUUUACCUUGCAGAAAUGUGCUGGCAGCAUCCUGUAAAAUCUUUGAGGAAGCUUAUCCAUUGUCAUUAACUUUGGAAGAUUCAUGGAGCUCUAAAAGACAUAAAAAAAAAGAAAUAGGAAGCUCUGCCUUAAAGAAACAAGCAGGAAGAAAAACGAAGGGACACACCAUCAUGGACAGGCUUUGCAGAAAUUUCCAAAGUUAAUAUCUCCCUAAGGAAGGGUGAGUCUUCACAUCUGCUGUCGUAUGGCUACACCAGGAUUUUGAAGGCCCAAGGAACUUCUCACCCCGCAGCAUUUAGACUUUGCUUGUCUGGAGGCAAGAGGCCCCACUAGGGCUGGAGAGCCAGAAGAGCAACCGGCUAUAAUCUUCUGUGUGCAGAGUGGCCUCUGGAGUCCCUUCACCUGGCUGGAGAUUUCAAAAGAUGCUACAAAUGGAGCAGGUGGGUCAUGGAUAAUAAGAUCCCCACCCUCCAGGAGCCUGAAGUGUGGGAAGCAGACCGUCUUGUCUUCCAGCACCUACUGUAGAUGUGCAAAUGACCACGUAUCACUAUGGACGUGACAUACAGAGCAGAUGUUCUGGUACUUGUUACCAUGUUAUCAUGUUAAGCACUUUCAUGUUCACUGAAUGGGUUGCUUGUUCUGUCUGUACCACUUGCUGUGUGCUAUGCUCCUGUCCCCCUUCCCAGCUGUGUUUAUUCUGUGUUCCAAGUCUGGAAUUUCCACAUUCACUGAGACGCUGUUCUAUUCUCAAGGCGUUUUCUAAUCUUGACUUUUCUUUGAUUUUGUUAGAUUUCCCUGAUUUCUUUUCUUUCUUAAAUUAUUAUUGCAGUUAUCUGCAGAAUAUAAUAUAGCUGUUAAUUAUUUUCUGGUUGAUUCAUGCAUCCUAUUCCAGCCUCUGCAGGAACCUUAUUUUGUACAUUAAUUUUUAGCAUCCCACCGUGCCAAGCACAGUUCCAGGCACAUCAGAUUCUUCACAAAUGUUCAUUUGGUCCUCCUGACUGACUCCUUCCCUUCCUCCAUUCUGGCAUUGAUUUAUCAAGAUGAAAAGUAAAAACAUUUUUGUUAUGGAAGUUUUCCUCUUCUAUGUAAUGCCAAGUAUUCAAAUGUCCUUAAACAUCUGGGAAUUUGGAAGAAAUCUGUUUGGCCCAUUAUUGAAACACACGUAGACAUUGUCUUUCCAUCCAGUGUUGGGGCAAGUUUCAUAAACAAGCAAAAUGUCCCAGGGGUAAGAAACAUGUGGCUCUCUUGGGUUAGAUUUUAUUUAAAAAGGUAUAACCCUUUUACAUAGAAAAUAUUUGUGAUUAUGACAUGAAAAAGCGACUGUGAACACUUGAUAAAGAAUUACUGAUGGAGGAGGGGAUAGGAGAUUGUGGAAGAGGCCAUAGUUUCCGUUAAGAUGAGUAAAUUCUGGGGAUCCGCUGUUCAGCGUGGUGACCAUCAUUAAUAAUGAAGCGCUAGAAACUUCAGAACUGG